rnacentral:rRNA from 1 species
AACGUAGGAGGCAAGCGUUAUCCGGAUUUAUUGGGCGUAAAGCGCGUGCAGGCGGUUUGAUAAGUUGGAUGUGAAAUCUCCCGGCUCAACUGGGAGCGGUCAUUCAAAACUAUCAGACUAGAGGAUGGGAGAGGGAGGUGGAAUUCCGGGUGUAGUGGUGAAAUACGUAGAUAUCCGGAGGAACACCAGUGGCGAAGGCGGCCUCCUAGACCAUUCCUGACGCUAAGACGCGAAAGCUAGGGGAGCAAACGGG